rnacentral:rRNA from 1 species
CCUUACCUGGUCUUGACAUCCACGGAAGUUUUCAGAGAUGAGAAUGUGCCUUCGGGAACCGUGAGACAGGUGCUGCAUGGCUGUCGUCAGCUCGUGUUGUGAAAUGUUGGGUUAAGUCCCGCAACGAGCGCAACCCUUAUCCUUUGUUGCCAGCGGUCCGGCCGGGAACUCAAAGGAGACUGCCAGUGAUAAACUGGAGGAAGGUGGGGAUGACGUCAAGUCAUCAUGGCCCUUACGACCAGGGCUACACACGUGCUACAAUGGCGCAUACAAAGAGAAGCGACCUCGCGAGAGCAAGCGGACCUCAUAAAGUGCGUCGUAGUCCGGAUUGGAGUCUGCAACUCGACUCCAUGAAGUCGGAAUCGCUAGUAAUCGUGGAUCAGAAUGCCACGGUGAAUACGUUCCCGGGCCUUGUACACACCGCCCGUCACACCAUGGGAGUGGGUUGCAAAAGAAGUAGGUAGCUUAACCUUCGGGAGGGCGCUUACCACUUUGUGAUUCAUGACUGGGGUGAAGUCGUAACAAGGUAACCGUAGGGGAACCUGCGGUUGGAUCACCUCCUUACCUUAAAGAAGC